UGGCGAAAGGGUGAGUAACACGUGGGUAAUCUGCCCCAAGGCCGGGGAUAACGUCUGGAAACGGACGCUAAUACCGGAUGUGGUCCUUAGAUCGCAUGAUCUUUGGACUAAAGGGAUACCGCCUUGGGAGGGGCCCGCGGCCUAUUAGCUUGUUGGUGGGGUAAUGGCCUACCAAGGCUUCGAUGGGUAGCCGGUUUGAGAGGAUGGUCGGCCACACUGGGACUGAGACACUGCCCAGACUCCUACGGGGGGCUGCAGUCGAGAAUAUUUGGCAAUGGGGGAAACCCUGACCAUGCGACGCCGCGUGGAGGAUGAAGGCAUUCGUGUUGUAAACUUCUGUGGUACGGGACGAACCGCGCGUCUUCGGGCGCGCCUGACGGUACCGUGCCAGAAAGCGCCAGCUAACUACGUGCCAGCAGCUGCGGUAAUACGUAGGGCGCAAGUGUUGCUCGGAUUUACUGGGCGUAAAGGGCGUCUAGGCGGCCUUUCAAGUCACGUGUGAAAUUUCUACGGCUUAACCGAGAAACUGCACGUGAUACUGUUGGGCUUGAGUGUGGUAGAGGGAAGCGGAAUUCAGGGUGUAGCGGUGAAAUGCGCAGAUAUCCUGGAGAACACCGAUGGCGUAGGCAGCUUCCUGGGCCUGCACUGACGCUGAAGCGCGAAAGCUAGGGGAGCAAACAGGAUUAGAUACCCUGGUAGUCCUAGCUGUAAACGAUGGGUGCUAA
rnacentral:rRNA from 1 species